rnacentral:lncRNA from 1 species
CUGCCGCCGCCACCUUCCUGAUCUCCGGCCACCGGCGUCCAUCCUCUACUCCGGCCGGUUGUUUGAGAUCUGCCUCGCCCCUGAAGUACUCUGUCCAUAUCUCCCCCUCCCACCUCCGAAUGUGUGGAAAUCUUCCACCGAUUCGCAUCUCCCGUCAAGCACUGGAUGACGUUCAAGCUGUUGAGUAAAUAGGCAAUUUUCCGAGUAUAUUAAUCCACGAAAUAAUAACUAGCAUGGCAUUGACUAGACUAAUGACAAACUGAUCUUGAGAUAACCUAGCACAUACUACGCAUAUAGUGGAUACAUCUAUGCAAACAAGUAGUACUUGUAGGAUAAAUACGAACAUGAGGAUAAAAACGAGUCAUACCCUCCAAUCGGCCAGUUGGCUGUAGUAGCAGCGGCGGCGGCGGCAGUAUCCUCUGCCGUCUUCUUCUCGGCUUCCUCGCGGAGACGGUCAGCUUCGCUUGGUGAAGACAUGGCGAUGACGAGGGCGACGCGGACGUAGACGAAGCAGACGGAUGGAGGAGAGCAGUCGCGUGAUCGCUCCCCAAAAACCUAAUCGCCCCUCUCCCGUACAGGAACCGGAGAGGCGAGGUUUCGGAGGCCUGCUCUCCCGUCGACCGUGUACGCGGUAAACGGGACGGGGUCGCCGGCGGUAGCAGCAGUUCAAGGAACGAACGCGUGAGGCAGAUGUGAUCUGAUUCUCGUGACGGCUAGGGUAGGAAAUCGCGUGCUUAUAAAGGCGGCUAGGUGGAGAGACGUGGGCCGAACCCACGUCCGAGUCGGUAACAGCCACGAUCCGACGUCUCGGAUCGUGCCUUGUCUGUUAUGUAUUCUCCGUUCCCGACCGGCAAAAAUAAGCGCAUAGGUAUGAGCUCGGCUCGGCUCAUUCCUGCGGCGCGUCGUGACGAGGCGUGGCGUGGCGAGGCGGGCGGCGCAGGAGGAGUGCGCGAGGGCACCUUCUCUUCUCACUCUCCAAUAGCAUGUGGAAGAGAGACCCUUAUAAAGGGGUCCAAACUCUCCUCCACUAGCGGGGUGGGAUUAAACUCCCACCACCUUGUCAUGCCACCACCUACAUGGGACCUUGGAGAUUUUUCUGAAAUUCUCUAAUGGGCCUAAAGCCCACCUCCAAAUUUCAACAAUCCCCCACCAGAUCUCAAGGGCACAUCGUGUUCCCUCAUUCCAAUCACUGUUUUAAUAUACCAACAUUUCAGUGAAGACCUAUUAAGGUUGAGCUUCACCUAGAACAAGUAGCUACACUCCUUUACAACUGAACAAUGGACUAUGCCUUGAAUUGUCAGCUUGGCGUAAAGGAGCUUCACCACAAGUCUUACUAGUACUAGACUGCCGAAGGUGACCCCUCGGGUGGAGCAUAUUAGUCACACUCCUGGCCUAUUCAUGAGUUUACUAGAGAUCACCCAAACCUCAUAGACUGUGACCAGCAGUCAAGCUCAUAUAGGUGUGUUCCUCCAAAGAUCACUCUGUAGGACAGCAUCUUGCUUACAUAUAAGCUUUAGAACACAUUAAGACAGUAGUCAUCCUACCAUACAGUAUCCGAGAGUAUUGCAUCUCCAACGGAGUGGGUUAGUAAAGUUACUCUCCUCAGUUCACCACUGGCUUGUUUUCCCAGGUCCUACUUCACGGGAUCUCCGAUCAUAUAGGUUGGGUUACUACCAUGGAAACUCAUGUGGGUCUCAUACCCAUCUCCCUCGAUGCACUAUCUAUCACAACACGUGAUAGCCCUUCUGUAAAGGGAUCUGCCAGAUUCUUAGCCGUUUGGAUAUAAUCCAACGCUAUCACUCCGGAGUUUCUCAAACGUGUGACAGACUUCAAUCUCAUUCUUAUAUGUUUGUUGGACUUCAUAUUGUCCUUUGAACUCUUCACUUUAACAAUAACCGUCUGAUUAUCGCAGUUCAUAAGGAUAGCCGGAACCGGCUUCUCAACCACAGGUAAGUCCAUCAAAAGAUCUCGAAGAAAUUCUGCUUCGACAACGGAUGUGUCUAAUGCUGUUAAUUCUGCUUCCAUUGUCGAUCUUGUUAAGAUCGUUUGCUUGCAAGACUUCCAGGAAACAGCACCACCCCCAAGAGUAAACAUAUACCCAGUAGUGGCCUUCAUCUCAUCAGCAUCAGAGAUCCAAUUCGCAUCACUAUACCCUUCAAGUACCGAUGGGAAUCCCGUAUAGUGAAGCCCGUGGUUGACAGUACCUUUCAAGUAGCGCAUAAUUAUUUCAACAGCACGCCAAUGAACAUCGCCCGGGUUUGCAACAAACCGGCUAAGUUUGCUCACAGCAAACGCGAUGUCAGGCCUCGUUGCGCUAGCUAGGUACAUAAGUGAACCGAUAAUUUGAGAGAAUCUCAAUUGAUCUAUAGCUGUGCCUUCAUCUCAAAAUCUUAUCAACAAACUUUCGAAUAAGCACACUAGGAUCAUAUGGUGUUUGACAAAUUUUGCAGUCUGAAUAUCCAAAGCGACUCAAAAUCUUAUCAACAUAGUGGGAUUGCAGAAGUGUAAUCCCACCCUCAUCAUCUCUCAAGAGCUUGAUGUUCAAGAUAACAUCCGCCACCCCGAGGUCCUUCAUCUCAAAGUUUUGAGACAGAAAAGACUUAACUUCCUCAAUUACUUUGAGGUUGGUGCCAAAUAUCAGUAUGUCAUCAACAUACAAGCACAGUAUAACUCCUUCGCCCCCACCAUGGCGAUAGUAUACACAUUUGUCAGCUUCAUUAACAACGACGCCAACAGAUGUCAGAGUUGUAUUAAACUUCUCAUGCCAUUGCUUAGGUGCUUGUCUCAGACCAUAUAAAGAUUUCAGCAACUUACACACCUUUCCUUCCUGACCUUCUAUCACAAAGCCAUCUGGCUGUUGCAUAUAGAUUUCCUCAUUUAGCUCUCCAUUCAGGAAAGCCGUCUUAACGUCCAUUUGAUGACCGAGAAGACCAUGAGAGGCCGCCAAUGAGAGUAGUACUCUAAUGGUGGUCAGUCUAGCCACAGGUGAAUAAGUUUCGAAGAAAUCUUCCUCUUCUUUCUAGGCAUAGCCCUUGUCCACAAGCCUAGCCUUGUACUUUUCAAUCGUACCAUCGGGCCUAAGCUUCUUUUUGAACACCCACUUGCAUCCCAAUGGUUUGCAACCAUAGGGACGAUCAGUGAUUUCCCAUGUCCCGUUAGCCAUGAUGGAAUCCAUCUCGCUACGGACCGUAGCUUUCCAGUAAUCAGCAUCUGGAGAAGCAUACACUUCUGAAAUAGAAGUGGGAUUAUCAUCCACGAGGUAUACGAAGAAAUCAUCACCAAAGGUCUUUGCAGUCCUUUGCCUCUUUCCCCUACCACGGGCUUCCUCGUCAUCCUCCUCAGGAUUUUCAUCAUGUGUUUGUUCAUAAUAUUCCAUAGGAAUGGCAGGCUCAGGAGUUAUCUCAGAUUCCUGUCUAGAAGUGCUUUGCAUAUCUCUCAUGGGAAAUAUAUCCUCAAAGAAUGUAGCAUCCCUCGACUCCAUUAUUGUACCGAUCUUCACGUCAGGUACCUCAGAUUUCACUACUAGAAAUCUAUAGCCUACGCUAUUCUUAGCGUAUCCCAAAUUAACGCAAUCCAUAGUCUUUGGUCCAAGCUUACGCUUCUUGGGGAUCGGUACAUUGACUUUCGCCAAGCAGCCCCAAGUACGUAAGUACGAGAGUGUCGUCCUUCUCUUCGACCACUCCUCGUAGGGAGUGACCUCAUUAUCUUUUGUAGGAACUUUAUUCAGGACAUGACACGCGGUCAAUAUAGCCUCCCCCCACCAUGCCUUGGAUAAACCCGAUGUAUCUAACAUGGCGUUAACCAAAUCAGUUAGAGUACGGUUUUUCCGCUCGGCAACCCCGUUUGACUGGGGUGAAUAGGGAGGCGUCCUCUCAUGAAUAAUGCCGUGUUCCGCACAAAAUGAAUCAAAUUCGUUUGAGAGGUACUCUCCACCACGAUCAGACCGGACUCGUUUAAUUUUCUUUUCAAGUUGAUUCUCAACUUCUGCCUUAUAGAUUUUAAAGUAGUGUAGAGCCUCAUCUUUAGUAUUUAACAGAUACACAUAGCAAAAUCUAGUGGAAUCAUCUAUCAAUGUCAUGAAGUAUUUCUUUCCACCUUUAGUCAACACACCAUUCAUCUCACAAAGAUCAGAAUGUAUGAGUUCUAAUGGUGCCAAGUGUCUCUGCUCUGCAGCCUUGUGAGGCUUGCGAGGAUGCUUUGCUUGCACACACGAGUGGCACUUAGAACCUUUGGCUAAAGUGAAAGUUGGGAUUAAAUUCAGUUUUGCUAGCCGCGACAUAACACCGAAACUUAUGUGACAAAGACGUGAAUGCCAAACUUCAGAUUCAUUAACACUCGAAUGAAUAUUGUUCACGACUUUAUUACAAAAAUCUGCUAGACAAAGGCGGAACAGACCUCCGCAUUCAUAACCUUUUCCAACGAAAAGUCCAUAUUUCGUAACUACUACUUUAUUAGACUCGAACACCAACUUAAACCCUUCUCUACACAGAAGGGAGCCACUAACGAGAUUCUUCUUGAUGGCGGGGACAUGCUGCACGUUCUUCAGCUGCACGAUCCUUCCCGAAGUAAACUUCAGAUCGACCGUGCCAACAGCAAGAACAGAAGCACUCACGCCAUUCCCCAUCAAUACGGACCCGCGACCGGUGGCCUGAUAAGAAGAGAACAAUGAUAAGUCAGCACACACAUGAAUAUUUGCACCCGUGUCCACCCACCAAUCGCUGGACUGACAAACUGUAAAUACAAUAAGUAAAUUACCGUACCCAGAUGCACCACUUUCAUUGUUGCCCACAAUCAUGUUUGCAGACUUGGAGUCCUGCGCCGGCUUCUUGUACUUGUUUGGGCAUUUGUUCGCCCAAUGUUCCUCUGAGCCACAAGUAUAGCAGCCAUCUCCCUUCUUAUUCUUCUUGAAGUCGGUAUUCUGUUGGACAGAGUUCUUUCCCUUGGGCUUGUGAGAAUUGAAGUUCCUCUGAUGUACCAUAUUGGCAGCAGAAGAGCUUUCCACCGCUUUUCCAUUGGAGUCCUUUGCUCUCGAGUUCUGCUCGACACUCAGAUGGCCGAUGAUGUCCUCUACUGAGAACUCACGCCUCUCAUGUUUCAGAGUAGUAGCAAAGUUCCUCCAUGAAUUAGGGAGCUUAGCAAUUAUACAGCCCGCGACAAACUUGCCCGGCAAAUUGCACUUAAGAACCUCAAGUUCCUUAGCUAUGCAUAUUAUCUCAUGAGCUUGUUCCAAUACAGAACGGUUGUCAACCAUCUUGUAAUCGUGGAACUGCUCCAAAACAUACAUCUCACUCCCAGCAUCGGUGGCCCCGAAUUUAGAUUCGAGCGCCUCCCACAAGUCCUUGGCAACAUGCAUAUGUAAAUAUGCAUCAACCAGAUUAUCUCUGAUCAUGCUAAUGACUGCUCCAAGGAAUAGGACGGUGGCCUCCUUAAACAUCUUCUCCUGUUCAGGAGUGAUAGUUUCCGUAGGAGUGACACCGGCUACCCAGAACACGUUCAUAGCCGUGAGCCAUAAGGUGGUUCUCGUUUGCCAGCGCUUGAAAAAGGUACCGGUAAACUUAUCCGGUUUCAGUGCCGCAGCAAAACCAUUACUCGAAAAAUUCCUACAGACAUUAGGUUUUUUAAUUGUUGAGUAAAUAGGCAAUUUUCCGAGUAUAUUAAUCCACGAAAUAAUAACUAGCAUGGCAUUGACUAGACUAAUGACAUACUAAUCUUUAGAUAACCUAGCACAUACUACGCAUAUAGUGGAUACAUCUAUGCAAACAAGUAGUACUUGUAGGAUAAAUACGAACAUGAGGAUAAAAACGAGUCAUACCCUCCAAUCGGCCAGUUGGCUGUAGUAGCAGCGGCGGCGGCGGCAGUAUCCUCUGCCGUCUUCUUCUCGGCUUCCUCGCGGAGACGGUCAGCUUCGCUUGGUGAAGACAUGGCGAUGACGAGGGCGACGCGGACGUAGACGAAGCAGACGGACGGAGGCGAGCAGUCGCGUGAUCGCUCCCCAAAAACCUAAUCGCCCCUCUCCCGUACAGGAACGGGAGAGGCGAGGUUUCGGAGGCCUGCUCUCCCGUCGACCGUGUACACGGUAAACAGGACGGAGUCGCCGGCGGCAGCAGCAGUUCAAGGAACGAACGCGUGAGGCAGAUGUGAUCUGAUUCUCGUGACGGCUAGGGUAGGCGAUCGCGUGCUUAUAAAGGCGGCUGGGUGGAGAGACGUGGGCCGAACCCACGUCCGAGUCGGUAACAGCCACGAUCCGACGUCUCGGAUAGUGCCUUGUCUGUUAUGUAUUCUCCGUUCCCGACCGGCAAAAAUAAGCGCAUAGGUAUGAGCUCGGCUCGGCUCAUUCCCGCGGCGCGGCGCGUCGUGACGAGGUGUGGCGAGGCGGGCGGCGGAGGAGGAGUGCGCGAGGGCACCUUCUCUUCUCACUCUCCAAUAGCAUGUGGAAGAGAGACCCUUAUAAAGGGGUCCAAACUCUCCUCCACUAGCGGGGUGGGACUAAACUCCCACCACCUUGUCAUGCCACCACCUACAUGGGCCCUUGGAGAUUUUUCUGAAAUUCUCUAAUGGGCCUAAAGCCCACCUCCAAAUUUCAACACAAGCUGCCUCUCCUGCUGCUUGGCGCAGCUUCUCCACGGACGCCACUAGAUAACCCUCCUACCACCGUACCUGCAUAGUCAACAAAGGCCAACGGCUGGUUCUCCCUCCAACGAGGACACCUUCGCCACCAUCGGCGUCAUCCUACUUUUACUCCCCUCCUGAACCGAGGUACCUCUGUCCUUCCCUCCUCCCACUUUUGCUUGCUGCAUAGAUCCAAUUAUCACUUGUUUUUAUUUUCCCCUACAUCCUGCUGCAUAAUUUUGAUGUUCUAUUUUGGAUCUCAGAAGUAAGAAAAUUGUAACGUGUAACCACUGAUCCUCAAUGACGCUUAGAAGUCAUUAAAAACAAUGUUGGUUUCUUACAUGUUUCUGCAAAAGUUUGAGUUCUGCCGUACUUAUUAAUGGAUCUGCACGUAGCUAGCAUAGAUCUGCCCGGUUCUUACAAUGUCCAUAAUAAGUUGCAUCAUAGCCUGUGAAUAAUGAAUGUCAGUAAAAUUGUACAAGUGUUGCUUGUCCGUACUUGUGAGUUGCGUUGCCUCCAUGCAUGUACGAGGUGCUGAUAGCUUAACAGGUUUCUGCUUUCAGGGAGGGAGGGAGAUGAGGCGAUGAUACUGGAAGAGGUGUGAGAUGUGCAAGCACAACACCAAGGACAGACUGCUGGCUCAUCAUUGUUGGCAAGGUAUAUCCACACAUCUUCUCCCCGCUGGCCCUCCUGAUUGUUUUCUUGCAUUAUUGUCAUGUCAAGAUUCAGUUUUCCUUCUUCCUGAUUGUUUUCUUGCAUUAUUGUCAUGCCAAGGUUCAGUUCUUCUUGUUACGUGCUGGACUGGUAGCGAUUCGAGUACAUCAGCCGACAUAUACGCCCAGUACUGCAGGACUAUUUCUUGAAUUCUUGGUUAUGGUGAAGAAUCAGUUUGGCUUAGUACACAUUAAGUGAAUCCUGGGGUUAAAAUCCAAAGGUAAUUCUCUGAAUUGUGAAUUGAUUUGAGAGCUUACACUCUGGUUUACUUCCAGAUUUUCACACCAUCGGAACCGAUAAAUUAUGAGUACCAUGCUUCCAGACUUCCACCCGCUUUAUACAAGGUCGGAACACUUUGAGCGAGCGUGUGUGAUUUUCUUAUGGUCCUCGGAAACUAGGCUUUCAUCCCCUUAAGAAUUGCAUUUGUUCACGUGGGAUCCAAUUCUCCAUCUGAAUUCUGGGCAUAACUUUGGAUCUUUUGUCAGUUUUUCUUCAUCUUCAAUGCAUCCAAUUUUUUUUGCCUUGCAAUAACAGCACCUUGGAAAAAAGUGCUCAUUUCAUUUUCAUCAAACGCUUGAACAGGAAUUAAUACAGUCAUGCAUGCAUUUUUUAGCAUAGUACGCAUACUUUUUAGCAAAGUAUGCAUGCCGUUCCUUUUCUUCUUUUGAAGAACAAAAUGGUAGGUGUUUUGAUGCUGAGUCCACACGUUAUUUUUUAUAUACUUAUUAGGUAGGGGCUGUUUGGUUGCCAGCCUCAGCUAGCCACGCCAAACAUGUGGCGUGCCACAGUUUUCUAGGAUGUUGUAUGGUUGUUACUAAACUUUGGCUCGCCACAGCUCGCCGGAGCUUUUGUUGUACAAAUAUUUGGCUAAGGGGUGGUGUUCGUUCCAGCCGCCACACAUUCUGUGGCGUGCCACACCUGCCUCUUCUUAGGCGUGGCAAACUGAGCGCCCAACCAAACAACCCCUAAAUCUUAACUUCUAAAUAGAUGUCAUUUCAGUUUGGUGAAAAGCAAACUGAAAAUAAUAAUUUUUCAUAGACAACAGAAUAAUCUCAACCAUCUUACUCUUUGUUCAGUUCCUAGCUGCAAUCGCCAUAGUAAGAACAAACAUGGGUGACCUGAUGUAAGAACAAAGAUUUUGUCACUAGUGCAGUAGAAUCCAGACCAAGAUGAGUGAUCACUGAUCAGCAACUGGGCCUUGACGAGACGGAUGACAGUGCAGUGCCACUUUUUCACGAGAAAGAUGAUGACUCGGGAAGGAAAAGGUGGGAGAGGCCCGAAUGGAGACGACAGCUCUGUUCAUUUCUGCGUCUUUUACUACUGUAGAUUCGCUGGCGCUGCACUAUCAAUGUAGCUUUAUGGCCUGCUCAAUGACUAUUCGGUUGUCAUUUUAACAUCUACUAUAACCAAGCGCCGUAGAUGGAAUUAUGCUGCUGCUACUGACAACUUUGUGUGCAAUGCAGAACUUCAAAAUCGCGACCUGAUGGAUUCCCAAGCCGGCGAAGAAGCACUUCAUGACAUGGAUAACUCUCAACUGAAGGUAUACUUAUUGAAACCUCCAUAGUGCAGGUAACAGCAGGUUUCUUUUCAAGCAUGUCUAAGCAUAGAUGGCUUGAAAGCAUAAAACUACUGGAAGUUUUCCACUGGCCGUGCAUAUAUUCAUUGUUGGCAUGAAGUUUCUACCUAAGAAACUACAGGAACUAAUAUAGGAGUAUUUAAAAACAGUGGUUUAGUAAUCUAAACGCACUUAUAUUAAUUUACAGAGGGAGUACCAAAGAUGUGUUGAACAGCUAUUUAUUAUAAACAGUUUCAUUAUUCAUUAGAUUAUUCUAUUUCUUAGAAGUGGAAAACGAAACUCCCAAUUAUAUUUCAGAUCAAUAUUAUGUCGUUGGCCACCUGCUAGCUCUGCCCAUUGGAAAUUCUCUGUGUUAUCUUCCAAAGAACCGAUAUGAGAAAAAUAGAAGUACACAUAUAAAUCUGCAUGCACUAGCAAGUUCCAAAUUGAUGAGUUGAAUGAUGUAUAAUAAUUUUGCAUGGCUGCUAUAUCAGCAAAAAUAUGUGGACAAAUGUUUUCCUUUCAUCCCUACGGAUUAUAUUGGCCAUGACAUCCAUUUGACCAUGCAUGCCAGGGAUUGGGCCUUCACAUUAAUCAUGUUCUACAAAAUGGUGUAUUGUUCUAUACUGUACAUAAAUAACUUAUAUAUGACUGAUAUUGACAUGUUGUAGUGUACUAUGUGGUCCAUCAUUAUAUGUGUUAUAUAUCUACCAACCAGAACCAAAAUAUAUGAUUAUAUAAUUAAAUAUUAGUGUAAUAUAGUUUGUACAUAUACGAAAAUUGUCAGAUCUGCAAUUAAUUGAAAUAAUUACUUUUCAUCACACAAUAGCCAAUAUGCAUUGAUCUGUGUUACUAGUUGCAAGCAAUUAGAAAAACAUUCUAAUUAUUUUUCCGUUUUAAUUUGUAUCAAAUAUUGCAAGGUAAAAUUACAUAUGCCUAUGUUUAAUGGACUAGCCCGUGGGGACGCACGGGUUGACGACUAGUAUGUCUAAUAUUCCACUAUCCUUUUAUUAUUGUUAUUCUUCCUUUAGAUGGAAUGUGAAUGCAUGAGGUUAUGCACGUAUACAUGCUAGGAGGCUGGCCAGUUGACAGAUUUAAGUGUGCGUGUUUAGUUUUUCUUCCAUUUUUUUUCAAAAGGUUUUUUCUUCCCGUAAGGUAAUUUAUUAGGCAUGCAUUCCUUUGUUGCACUUUUUAUAUGUAUCUGACUUGGGCUCAGCCUAUGCGUGCUAUGAAUGGAAAGAUUUUUCCCUUCGGUUCCUAAAAAGUUACCUUUCCUUACUACGUGAAUCGCGUAUGGGAAUUGGACUCUCAACUUGGUCAAUACUUGUUUUGGUCAACUCAAAAUAGUACUUGAUGUGCACCUAGAAAAGUAUAGUUUCAUGCCGGAAUUUUAUUUUAGGUUGGCAUUGUAUGAUUUGGAAAUAAUACUUGUGUUAACCUCACUUUAUUGUGUGUUAACCUGACAAUCUUUCCAUCAGUAUGUUCUUGUCAUUUGUGAUCCUUUUUAAUGUCAGGAAGUCCCUCAAUUCAGAAUUGGCUACUCAGAUGAAGUGAAACAG